rnacentral:tRNA from 1 species
AUUUAAAUAGUUUAAUAAAAAUGUUGAUUUGUGGUGUCAAUGAUAUGAAAUAGAUUCAUUUUAAAUC